CCGACUUUAACUCAAGUGGUAGAGUGUUUGACUGUAGUAAGAAUCACAAGAGAUAUCAAAAGGUUGCUAGUUCGAGUCUGGCAAGUCGGA
rfam:Polysphondylium pallidum PN500 unplaced genomic scaffold PPL_scaffold14, whole genome shotgun sequence.